UGGGGAAUAUUGGACAAUGGGGGGAACCCUGAUCCAGCCAUGCCGCGUGUGUGAAGAAGGCCUUAUGGUUGUAAAGCACUUUAAGCGAGGAGGAGGGUACUGGUAUUAAUACUACCAGCUACUGGACGUUACUCGCAGAAUAAGCACCGGCUAACUCUGUGCCAGCAGCCGCGGUAAUACAGAGGGUGCGAGCGUUAAUCGGAUUUACUGGGCGUAAAGCGUGCGUAGGCGGCUAAUUGAGUCGGAUGUGAAAUCCCCGAGCUUAACUUGGGAAUUGCAGUCGAUACUGGUUAGCUAGAGUGUGGGGGAGGAUGGUAGAAUUCCAGGUGUAGCGGUGAAAUGCGUAGAGAUCUGGAGGAAUACCGAUGGCGAAGGCAGCCAUCUGGCCUAACACUGACGCUGAGGUACGAAAGCAUGGGGAGCAAACAGG
rnacentral:rRNA from 1 species